rnacentral:rRNA from 1 species
CAGUCGCCGCGGUAAUACGGAGGGGGCUAGCGUUGUUCGGAAUUACUGGGCGUAAAGCGCACGUAGGCGGCUUGGUAAGUUAGAGGUGAAAGCCUGGAGCUCAACUCCAGAAUUGCCUUUAAGACUGCCGAGCUAGCAGGUGAGAGAGGUAAGUGGAAUUCCGAGUGUAGAGGUGAAAUUCGUAGAUAUUCGGAAGAACACCAGUGGCGAAGGCGGCUUACUGGCUCAUACUGGACGCUGAGGUGCGAAAGCGUGGGGAGCAAACAGGAUUAGAUACCCCCGUAGUCCCUGUCUCUUAUAC